UGGUUUUGGCUGAAGUCAAACUUUCUUAAGUUUGACCAAAUUUAUAUAAAAAAUUAUUAAUUUUUAUAAUACCAAAUAAACAUACCAUGAAAAUAUAUUUCAUUAUGAAUCUAAUGAUACUUAUAUGGUUUCAUAAAAAGUAGUAAUUUUUUGUAUAAAUUUGGUCAAACUUAAGAAAGUUUGACUUCAGACAAAUCUAA
rnacentral:pre_miRNA from 1 species